rnacentral:rRNA from 1 species
AACGAACGCUGGCGGCGUGCCUAACACAUGCAAGUCGAACGGAUUGAAGGGGCUUGCUCCUUCAGUUAGUGGCGCACGGGUGAGUAACGCGUAGAUAAUCUGCCUGAUGAUCUGGGAUAACAGUUCGAAAGGACUGCUAAUACCGGAUAAGCCCACGUGGUCUUUGGACCGUGCGGGAAAAGGGGGGGACCUUCGGGCCUUCUGUCAUCAGAUGAGUCUGCGUACCAUUAGCUAGUUGGUAGGGUAAUGGCCUACCAAGGCUACGAUGGUUAGCUGGUUUGAGAGAAUGAUCAGCCACACUGGAACUGAAACACGGUCCAGACUCCUACGGGAGGCAGCAGUGGGGAAUUUUGCGCAAUGGGCGAAAGCCUGACGCAGCAACGCCGCGUGAGUGAUGAAGGCUUUCGGGUCGUAAAGCUCUGUCGAGGGGAAAGAAGUGUAUUGUGGUUAAUACCCGCGAUACUUGACGGUACCCCUAAAGGAAGCACCGGCUAACUCCGUGCCAGCCGCCGCGGUAACAC